rnacentral:rRNA from 1 species
CCUACGGUGGGCAGCAGUGGGGAAUAUUGGACAAUGGGCGAAAGCCUGAUCCAGCCAUGCCGCGUGUGUGAAGAAGGCCUUCGGGUUGUAAAGCACUUUCAGUGGGGAAGAAAGCCUUGGGGCUAAUACCCUCGAGGAAGGACAUCACCCACAGAAGAAGCACCGGCUAACUCCGUUCCAGCAGCCGCGGUAAUACGGAGGGUGCGAGCGUUAAUCGGAAUUACUGGGCGUAAAGCGCGCGUAGGCGGUCUGAUAAGCCGGUUGUGAAAGCCCCGGGCUCAACCUGGGAACGGCAUCCGGAACUGUCAGGCUAGAGUGCAGGAGAGGAAGGUAGAAUUCCCGGUGUAGCGGUGAAAUGCGUAGAGAUCGGGAGGAAUACCAGUGGCGAAGGCGGCCUUCUGGACUGACACUGACGCUGAGGUGCGAAAGCGUGGGUAGCAAACAGGAUUAGAUACCCGGGUAGUC